ACAUAUGAUUUAUGAUGCUUUUGUUGGUGAUGAUGAUGAUGAUGAUGAGGAUGGUUUUGAAACUUAAUUGUUUUUACUUUUGGAAUAUAUAUCAUAUACCUACUAGCAGAUAGAAUAGACACUCUAACAUGUUCUUCUAUCCGCUUUUCUUUGCAUUUAAGGUGUAUUUGAUUAAAAUACCCCAUCCGUCUUAAAUUGUAUGUCAUUUUAGGAAAAAAAAUUGUCCCAAAUUGUAUGUCACUUUACAAUACCAAUGAAAUAUUAAUGUUACUUUUCCUAUUAUAUCCUUAAUUAUUUAUUACUCUUUCUUCUUUCAAUUCUUUCAUUUAUCUUUCCCAUAUCAUUUAUUAAGGACAAUUUUGUAAAACAACUCAUAAUAUCUAUUUCCCACACAAUAUUAAUUACAUUUCUUAAUAUGUGUUAAAUGCCCAAAACGUCAUGCAAUUUGGGAUGGAGGGAGUAAGUUAUAAGCCAGUGAUAAGGAGGAUUUUUCCUAUCCUGGUACAAUAGUAAGUAUUAUGUAUGUUUCUUUAAAAAUAAAUUAUGGAACCUUAUUCGCGCACAAUAUUAAGUAUUAUGUAAACAAAGUUUUACAAAAGCUUUUUCUUAACAGGAUUAGAUUUCAUCAAUAACAAUUAUUCCUCGUAUUUUUCAUUCUAAUCGAUUAUAUAUUUUUUUAUGCUUCAAAUAUAACUCGAGAUAUACUUCAGUAUACAUCUCCAAUUCUGAUUAAGGAUGUGAGAUCUAUUGAAUCCACCGAAUUAUGAUGCUCGAUGGCAACAUAGUCGAUUGCAUAGUUUUAAAAAUCGGCUUGGACCGGUCCAACCAGAAAUCGGUGGGGUAUCCUGUUCGGUCUGCAUGAUGGAUCGGCUAUGCAGUUAAACCGAUGGGAACCGGGUGAAAAUCAGCAAAACUCGGGAAAAACCGGUGACAUUGUGGGUUAAUGUGAACCGGGCAAGUCAACAGCAUUUGACCGCACAUCCAAAUUAACUUUUAAAAAAAUUUUAAAUUUGGCAUAGGUGGGACUUGAACACAGGACCAACUACUAGCGUGACCCUUUUUUAUUUUUUUUUUUAAUUUAUUUAUUAUUGUUUUGAGCUAAACACAAUAGAUAGAGGAAGAGAGAAAGAUUAAUAAGACGAUACCAAUUUUUUGCAAGUGUACGAAAUCAUGUAAUUAGUAAAGUUAAAACGGAAAAACAAGUGUUGAACUCGAGGACUGCGUCAUAUUGUCGAAUUGUAUAUUUUAAAACUUAAUUGAACAAAAAGAUACGAGUGUGUUGUUUGUAAUUUUUGCUACUACGAAAAUUGAAUAAAAGUCAGUUAUAAUCUAAAUGUGUUAGCAUGAGUACGGCUUGGUUACAAACUUUACACUAUUAAUCUCAUCCUAUAAAUUUAAUUCAUUAUUCAUGUUAUUAUCAGUUUCUUAGAUUGUUUAAUUCUAAUCUAUUGGUGAUUAAACCUUUAACCUUGAGAUAACCCUUAAUUCAUCUCUUAGUGAAUUUUAAAUCAAUAUAAAACUACAAAUAUUUGAAAAUAUAAUAAUUUCAAGGGUUCACAACUAUAUAUAGACUACGAUAGUAAGAACAUAUUUAAUCUCAAAUAUUCACAAAUUUCAAUCUCGUUUUAAAUUGUAAAUCUUACAUGAAUUUAAGGUUGGACAAACAAUAAUAAGCAUUAAGGUCAUGUUUUGUCAAUACAACUCAUCCAUAACAAGAGAAAAAAAUAUCUACCCAUAAUAUUAGUCAAAUAUAUCGGGUGUACCAUAGAAUUUGCCAAUUAAAUCACCCCUCACCCUAAUUCUUCCUUUGUCGUUAGUAACUUAUGUUAGUGUCUCUCUUCAGAAACCAAUGUCCUCAAGUCAAUCACGUGAUUUUCUAAUUAUUCAUGUCCAUCUAAUUUGUUGUGGUGGAACAAUGAUAAAGAAGUGUCAAGGAAUUAUAUGAACCAAUGGUGCAUUUAGGAGAGGGGACCGCGUGAACAUAGAGAGAAGUCAGAAUGUACAAGACUCCAUGCGUACAUUGGAGUGUAUUUUGUGGUGGUUUAUUUGAUGCCACCAGUAAGAUACUUUUGGCAACUAUGUUGAGAAAAGUUCAGUAAAAUAUCUCUGGCAACCAUGUUGAGAAAAGUCCAGUAACAUAUCUCUGGCAACCAUGUUGAGAAAAAUCCAAUAAUAUAACUCUGGCAAAAUGAUGAGUAAGUGUGGUACCACAUUCAUAUAGAUCUUAGGACUGAGUCCAUAUGCAUACAAAUUCAUGAUGAUCUGUAUUUGGUGAAUAAGUGUUACUGUGUCUGUGUGCAACGACGAAGGUGAUUAUCUGUUGAGGUUCUUAUGAAGAUUGUUAUUGGUGACUAUUUUAGAAUUGAAUUGUGACAUUGUGUUUGUGAAGAUUUUGGUUCUUAUUCCGUAAUGAUAUUUUUUAUUGAUGUGGAUUGCGUUGAUAUAGUAUAUACUUCAAGGUUCUGAAUAUUGUGUUAGUGAUGUAAUACGACUUUAACUUAAUUGCUUACGUGUUCUUCUCGUUUAUUUUAUACUUUUACAUGUUCUCGAAACUCACCUCUUCGUUGUUUGUGUUUGCUGGCUUGGCCCUGCGGUUGCGAAACCGUAGUUCUAUAGGUUGUGAGUCUUGGAGUCACGUACAUGCCUUCCAUGAAGACUUGUCUCAUGUCGUCUGUUAUUUUGGGGGGAAACACCGCUCUGAUAGUGACACGGGAAAAGGGAUAUGCUUACUUAUUUAAUUUUGUACAAGAAAAUCAUUGCUUGUGAUGUAAUAGAAAUUAUUUUCAAAAGCAAAAGAUUCAAUGUUAAUAUUAUAAUAAUUUUCAAGGAAGGGAAAUUUGAAUUAUGUUUGUUAUGAGUCAAUGUGAUAUCCUAAAUCUUGCAAAAGAAUUCUUAUAUUAAUAGAAAAGUUUUUAUUUGACAUUUUCUGCCGUGAAUCAAACUCUGUUUUUCGAAUGAAUAAUAGUAAUAUUUAUUUUUGGGACUUAGGGUGUCACACUUUCCAUCCCUUUCGGUUUCGAAUAGAGCGGUUAUGUACCGUCCUGAGUGGCUUUAAUCGUUCAAUUAAACCAUAUUUUGAGGUGUAUAUCUCGAGCGAUUAUAUACUGUGCAGUAUGUAAUCGUAACAGUGAUCUGGGCUGUUUUAUCCUGGAGACGGCGUGGUUGUUAGUUUACUUUGCAUAAUUUAAGUAGUGCCGCCAAACAUGUUAAAGUGAGCAACCUGAUCGUGACUCAACCCGAUAAUUCCUUUAGUAGUGGUUCUGAUUUUUAAACACAAAAAUAACAGAAACUCAUGUUAGUUAGUUUUACAAUGUUCAAGACAAAGUGACAAACAAAUCCUUCAAUGCAGUAAACCACACUACCGCAAAAGUUGACAAAAUCAAGGGGAGAACUAUUAUAAAGUACUAUAAUAAAUAUACACACACUCACACACCUUAAAUUUUCAAGUAAAUAACACCUCCAUCUAGAAAAUUGUUGUAUACACAUGUUGUUUGGCUGAGAAACACAUGUAAAAGACAAAAAUACCCUUCGGUAGUUAACUGUCGAGGAAAAAUAAAACCGGCUGCAGUUAUCUACCGAGGAAAACCUCGGCAGUUAACUACCGAGGAAAAGAAAAUUUCAAAAAUAAAUCUCCUUCGGCACUUAAGUACCAAGGAGUUGUUUCUAGGUUUUUAAUAUCAAGCCUAAUAGGCAAGUUAGCAACUAUAGUUUCUUACGGUUUUUAUUUAUUUAUUAUUAUCAUGUUAUAGGUAAGUUAGCAACUAUAUACCCGUCCCCCGUCCCAUACCCAUGUUUCGAGAUCGGGGAAAACUCAUACCCAUACCCAAACCCAGUCAAAACGGGGAAAACCCGUCAAAUUGAGUUUGGUUUGGACGGGUAACCACGGGUAUGGGUUUUGUUGCCAUGCCUAUCCAUAAGUCUGCGCAUCUUCCUAAUGUGUUUCGUCCAUUCCUAUUUUGAAGGCACAAUAAUUGCAUUAUUUUUUGGGAAGUACUCAGCAUCUCUUACUCAUAAAAUUCUGCGCACCUUCCUAAUGUUUUUCGUCCAUUCCUAUUUUGAAGGCAAAAUAAUUGCAUUAUUUUUUGGAAAGUACUCAGCAUCUCUUACUCAUAAAGUCUGAGCACCUUUCUAAUGUGUUUCGUCCAUUCCUAUUUUGAAGGCGCAAUAAUUGCAUUAUUUUUUGGAAAGUACUCAUCAUCUCUUACUCAUAGAAGUCUGCGCACCUUCCUAAUGUGUUUCGUCCAUUCCUUGAUAUGUAUUGGAUACUCUCCUGAUAUAUCGAGCAGAGAUAUCAAUGUAUCAUACAUAUCAAAUACUAGUAUUUCAUCAAUUUUAAAGUAUCGCGGCUUAAAAUUAAUCACUAAAUUUAGCCAUCGAAACUAUGCACGGAUGUCUUGUUUCGAAAUUUAGUUAUUGUGUACACUAAAUUAAAAGUCUUUAUUGAGUCAAAUAGGGCAUCUAUUAGGGUUUAAAUGCAUGCAUAAUCUAUGAUUAAUUUAACUGUAUUACUCCUAUUUAAUUAACCCUAUUUAAUUUAAUCAAAAUGUUAUGUUAUGCAAAGCAAAAUAAACAAAUCUCUUAAAUUAUUUCCUAAUUAUUUGCAUGAAAUAUUAAAUGCUUGGUAAAUUCGAUUCAUGCUUAUCUAAAUAAUUAAUCAACAAAUUAAUAUUAAGGGGGAUAUUCAGGGAUGAAAGGAGUAGUUCCUUAAAUAUCAUUUUCAUUAAAAAUAUUUAUUGUGUACACUUUGUAUGUUAGAUCUUUUGUCUUUUUGUGGGUCUCAAUUAUAGGUAGGAAUCAAAACCUAAUUGAGCAGUGAAGUACCACGAAGAUGGGAAGAGUGGAAAAAAAUCUCACGCGCAAUUCCAUAAUAUUUUGUUUUUUUUCUUUCUUUCUCAAUACAUAUACCUUAUUACAACAUCGUAAACAUGCAAGAAUUGUAAGACCUUAUUAUAAUUCCAUAACCAAGAACACAAAAUCUCUCAAAUCUCUUUGAUAUUUUGUUCAAGAACAUGGCUUACUGUGGAUACCCAGAGGCUUAUCCACAUGCAUAUCCACCGAAUCCACCAACUUAUUCACAGGUUCCACAGACUUAUUCACAUGCUCCACCAACUUACCCACAACCUCCAUCAGUUUAUCCACAGGUUCCGCCAGCUUAUCCACAACCUCCACCGCCGGCUUAUCCAUACCCUCCACCGGCUUAUCCACAAGCUCCACCGGUUCCAGCGACCUAUCUAUAUACUCCACAACCUUAUUUGCAGGCUCCACCAAUGUAUCCACAUGUUAAUCCAAGACCACAAAAACCUAAGAGGAGUCGUUUUGAAAGAUUGGGAUUAAAAGUAGGGUUGAUUGGAGUUGCAUGUGCAAUAACCAGUGGGGUGACUGGAGUUGAACAUAUGAUUUAUGAUGCUUUUGUUGGUGAUGAUGAUGAUGAUGAUGAGGAUGGUUUUGAAACUUAAUUGUUUUUACUUUUGGAAUAUAUAUCAUAUACCUACUAGCAGAUAGAAUAGACACUCUAACAUGUUCUUCUAUCCGCUUUUCUUUGCAUUUAAGGUGUAUUUGAUUAAAAUACCCCAUCCGUCUUAAAUUGUAUGUCAUUUUAGGAAAAAAAAUUGUCCCAAAUUGUAUGUCACUUUACAAUACCAAUGAAAUAUUAAUGUUACUUUUCCUAUUAUAUCCUUAA
rnacentral:lncRNA from 1 species